AUUGAACGCUGGCGGCAUGCUUUACACAUGCAAGUCGAACGGCAGCACGGACUUCGGUCUGGUGGCGAGUGGCGAACGGGUGAGUAAUACAUCGGAACGUACCCAGUAAUGGGGGAUAACUAGUCGAAAGAUUAGCUAAUACCGCAUACGCCCUACGGGGGAAAGAGGGGGAUCGCAAGACGUCUUGUAUUGGAGCGGCCGAUGGCUGAUUAGCUAGUUGGUGGGGUAAAGGCCUACCAAGGCGACGAUCAGUAGCGGGUCUUAGAGGACGAUCCGCCACACUGGAACUGAGACACGGUCCAGACUCCUACGGGAGGCAGCAGUGGGGAAUCUUGGACAAUGGGCGAAAGCCUGAUCCAGCAAUGCCGCGUGCGUGAAGAAGGCCUUCGGGUUGUAAAGCGCUUUUGUCUGGGAGCAAAUCCUUGUGGCUAAUACCCACCGGGGAUGAGAGUACCAGAAGAAUAAGGACCGGCUAACUACGUGCCAGCCGCCGCGGUAA
rnacentral:rRNA from 1 species